rnacentral:lncRNA from 1 species
AAGGAGUUGGUGAAUAUGGUUGGAGGGUCUUCUUUUAGACGUAGAUCCUUUAAGAAAUGAAAAAAGAAUAAGAAGAAUAAGAAGAAGGUGCAAAGUGCUGGGGCACCCAAGCUCAAUCAGAUCAAGAAAUUUCAGUUCGACUAGAGUCAGAUGAAAUACUUCUACUGCAAGAAGGGUACUGGAAGAGAAAUUGUCCUCAGUAUAUUAUCUCUCUAGAUCCGAACAGAUUGAGAAAGAAGCAAGUUAUUGUUGGACAAGAUAAUUAUGUGAUAACAUCUUAUAAUUUCUUAAUUUGUGAUCUACUACUUGGGUGUUAGAUACUGAAAGUCUUUUUAAUAUUUGUAAUUCAUUGCAGGGUCUGCAGGUCAAUAAAAAAUUUGAAGAAGGCGAAAGAUUCCUUAAUAUUGGAG